GGUGAGAAACAAGUUAUUUCUUAAAAACCUUGGUGGGGUUCUUCGAAGCUCUUCGCAGGCCAAUUUGAUGUGACUUGCUAAGCUUAGGCACUUGAUCUAGUUUUCAGCUUCAAAUUGGUCUGUUGAUACACACCUUUGAAUUAGUUUUGCUAUAUCCUCAAUUGCAGGGAAGAACUUCCAGUCUGAAUGUUUCAUCUGUUAAAUUGUCUGAAAAUUCGGUAUCUGCUGGACGAAGCACACCACCUGUUCGAUCAAAUGCCUAAGAGGAAGAUGAAUCAAACUGUAAGGAAUCUGGAAAUAAUGUUGUUCAUUCAAGUAUGGAUUCUAUUACAAUUCAAGGUUUUGUUCGAGAAUUA